rnacentral:rRNA from 1 species
GACGAACGCUGGCGGCGGGCUUAACACAUGCAAGUCGAACGGAAAGGCGCUGCUUGUGUGGGGUGCUCGAGUGGCGAACGGGUGAGUAACACAGGAGUAACCUGCGCUGGGGUGGGGGAUAACUUGAGGAAACUGGUGAUAAUACAGGAGAGGAGCUGGUGCAGGAUGGUGGGGGUUGGAAAGUUUCGGCGGAUUGAGAUGGAGUCGCGGCUAAUCAGCUGGUUGGUGGGGGAGCGGCUAACCAAGGCAUCGGUGGAUAGUCGGCGCGGGAGGGUGGCCGGGCACCAUGGGACUAAGAGAGGGACCAGACUGCAACGGGAGGCAGCAGUCGGGAGUAUUGCACAAUGGGCCGAAGCCUGUUGCAACAACGCCGCGAGCGUGAUGACGUCCUUCGUGUUGUAAACCGCUUUCGCCUGUGACGAAGCGUGAGUGACGGUAAUGGGUAAAGAAGCACCGGCUAACUACGUG